UACGGAGGGUGCGAGCGUUGUCCGGAAUCACUGGGCGUAAAGGGCGCGUAGGUGGCUUGGUAAGCGUGUGGUGAAAGCUCGGGGCUCAACCCCGAGUCGGCCAUGCGAACUGCCGAGCUUGAGCACUGUAGAGGCAGACGGAAUUCCAGGUGUAGCGGUGAAAUGCGUAGAUAUCUGGAGGAACACCGGUGGCGAAGGCGACAUCCUGGACCGGCAUUGACGCUGAGGCGCGAAAGCCAGGGGAGCAAACGGG
rnacentral:rRNA from 1 species